UCCUAUAAUUCCAAUUAAUUUCUACAAUUCCACGAAUUUUCGAAAUAAUUCCACGAUAUUUUCCUUUAUUAUUCAAUUCCAUUGCGACAUAUUUUUUUGUUGGAAAUAGUUGGUGACUCACUAAUAUAGUUGUCAAAUAGAGACUAAAGUCAAAGUUAAAGGAGCGUUUCGUAAUGAAAACUAAACUAAAAU